rnacentral:rRNA from 1 species
CCUACGGGUGGCAGCAGUGAGGAAUAUUGGUCAAUGGGCGAGAGCCUGAACCAGCCAAGUCGCGUGAGGGAGUACUGCCCUAUGGGUUGUCAACCUCUUUUGUCGGGGAGCAAAAGCCGGACGUGUCCGGCUGUUAUAGUACCCGAAGAAAAAGCAUCGGCUAACUCCGUGCCAGAAGCCGCGGUAAUACGUAGGAUGCCAGCGUUAUCCGAUUUUAUUGGGUUUAAAGGGUACGCAGGCGUAUUGUUAAGUCAGCGGUGAAAUCGUGGGGCACAACCCCAUCCAGCCGUUGAAGCUGGGGAUCUAGAGUGUGCGAGAGGUAUGCGGAAUGUGGGGUGUAGCGGUGAAAUGCAUAGAUAUCACGCAGAACCGCGAUUGCGGAGGCAGCAUACCGGUGCACAACUGACGCUCAGGCACGAGAGCGUGGAUAUCGAACAGGAUUAGAUACCAGUAGUC